rnacentral:rRNA from 1 species
UACGUAGGGUGCGAGCGUUAAUCGGAAUUACUGGGCGUAAAGCGUGCGCAGGCGGUUCUGAAAGUCAGCUGUGAAAUCCCCGGGCUCAACCUGGGAAUUGCGAUGGAGACUGCAAGGCUAGAAUCUGGCAGAGGGGGGUAGAAUUCCACGUGUAGCAGUGAAAUGCGUAGAGAUGUGGAGGAACACCGAUGGCGAAGGCAGCCCCCUGGGUCAAGAUUGACGCUCAUGCACGAAAGCGUGGGGAGCAAACAGG